rnacentral:lncRNA from 1 species
CCCUUUCCCUUUUCCUUUCCUCUAGACGACCCUCCAGACAUUUCUUCUCUGUGCUAAACUAGCUCAAGUGAGUAGCAACGCUCUCAGCACUGCGUAUAUAUAGAACCCGAGACUCAGUAGCUAUUGUGCAGUGGAAUAAAUGCACCUGAAAAGCCUAGAUUCGAUUCCUAAAAAGCCUAGUUAAAAACUGAAAAGUCUACU